GGACUAUCUGAAUGUGGUGAUCUCUAUACUUCCCAGGCCCUCCAGGAAAAGACUCACUGAACAUUGAGUUCAGUUCAGAGCUGCUUUCCUGAUUUCCAAGCCCACCAUGGAAUUUUUCCUGCUUAACUAAACGAAUGAUUCUUGCGACUCCAUAAUGUCAGGUGGCAUUGCCAGAAAAUAUACUGAACAGAGACUAAAAAGGGAGCAGCAGGUUGUAAUGAAAUGUCUUGUCUUGUAUUGAAGCAGUAGAGUCACAUGAUUCUCCAUGUAUCCUUUAAGCUAGUAAUAAAAAAUUACUCAUCUUGCCAGCCUUAGUAACAAAUGGCUGAUAGUCUAAAAGGUCUGUUUUGUGACAGAAAAAUACAGCACUAAGUAUACCAGUUGCUUGAUCAGAGAUUCACUUCUGAAAUUGCAAGAUAAGGAGGAAUGAUCUGUCUUUACAAUGCAACUCCAAGGUGGUUCUUCUUUUUUUUUUUUUUAAAGUGCUGCAAAGUGAAAACAUCUUCUAGUGCCAAUACCAGAUCUUGCUCAUAUCACCUUAGGAAAGUUUUUAAAUGUUUAAUAAAACACUUCUGGGCCAUGGAAUGGAAAGCGCUACAGGAAGUAUUAUUUACAUUUAGUGUUAUCUGUAGGGAUCAUGUGGAGGAAAAAAAUUGUCACCUCUUAUGUCUACACUGCCCCCACCCCAAAAAAAAAAAGACCCAGGGCAGCAAGUCUCGGAGUCCAGGUCAACUGAUUUUGGCUUGUGGGGUCGUGCUGUGGGGUUAAAACCAGCAGUAUAGACAUUUGGGCUUGGGCUGGAGCCUGGCUCUGACACCCAGCUAGUUGGGGAGGGACUCAGAGCCCAGGCUCAAGCUCAAACCUGAACAUCUACACUGCUCUUUCUAGCCCCAUAGUGUGAUGCCUGCAAGGCCCAGGUCAGUUGACCCAGACUGAGGCUUGCUGCCAUGGGUUUGGGGUGGGUUUUUGUUUGUUUGCAGUGUGGACAUACCCUUAAGAACAAGGAAAGAG